CGCCAUUUUCAGCGUGUGAGUCAAACCAGUGUCACUAAAGGAAAACCCUUGCUUUAUUUUUAGAUGUAAGGCUCACUGGGCUCAACACAACAUCAACAUUCACCACAUUAAGGUUCUAAACGGAAUUAUUGUUUGUAACUUAGUUUGUUUGCAGGUAGGUUUGCAAACAUGUGUACUUUUCAUUGCGUCUACCUUAAACUUCAGCCGUUUGCAUUUCUUGCGGUCACUGAAGCUCCCUGUGAUCUUAACUAGGUGCAGCAGGAAAGUUUCCAGAGCGUUGCCUCAUGUGAGUGUCGCUCCAUUAGGAAUAAAAUAACGAACUUGCCUGCAGGUCGCACACCAGAAGUGUGCGACCGGCAACUCUCAGCAUCGCACCACGCAGCGCCAUGCAUUUUAGAAUUCUAAACAUAAGUUUCUAUUAGGGUACACACAACAGCGCUUCAAGACGGCGGCUAUACACGGCGCUCAGCCAGGAUUCGGGACACUUCAUAUUUCUGCUACGCCACAGAGUGCCAUCUGAAUAGUUUUAUUUUAAAUAGCAUCCGAAUGUGCGUGCCUGGUGUGCCUCAGUCAAAGUUAAUUCAGUGUGCGUGGUUAUUAGUUUCAGUGUACAAGCUCUAAACUUUAAACUAACACACAGUUGGCUGUAAAACUAUACAAAGACAAAGAUUUUGUACUCUCUGCCUGGUCUGUGUCCGAGUCGUACAUGUACGGCUGAAUGCUGGUCCUCUCACUCAUGUUGCUUCUCCCUGUCUGUUGCCAAACACAGAGCGGGGGAGCUCUUGGCUCCGCUCCCUUGUUACGUUGGGCGGGAAGUCGAAACUAAUUUCCAAGUGAAGCAACCAGCCUGAUGUCACGAGGAAAUCAUGGGAGCUGAGCGGCAUUCCAAAACAGUGAGGGAAAGACAUUACAGCAGCCAUUUCCUGAAAGGAGGGGAGGAAAGCUCUUACAAGGCACUUCUUAAUAGGAUCGCUGAGCGCUGAGGCCUUAAGCAGACUACUCGUCUCCAAACAUCUUCAGGAAUAAAAUACAACCUUGGGUUUUGACAGUGUAAAACGUCUAUUUUCUUACCUCUAAGCAACACAAAUACAGAAUUUGCUGGAAGCAAUUUUAGAUUUGUUUCAAGGGGACAUGUUAAUGGCACAAAUUUCUGAAAGGAACAGUCGAAUAAUAAGAAGAUUUCCUUGAGAAACCUGUUUGGAAAUAAUCAUUAUUGCCAUUUUUGCUUAUUUUUGUGUCAGCCACUAGAGGAUAGACAUUGUCAAAUUAAUAAAUUAUCAUUCUUCAUGUCUUUAUGUCAGAUUUUUUUUCCUAUACAGUGGAGGCUAAUAGGAUCCAAUGUUGUUUUGCUCCUAACAUUAACAUGGACAUUUUUUUUUCUUUCUUUUUGCAAUAGCAUACACAUGAAA
rnacentral:lncRNA from 1 species